UACGAGGGGGGCAAAUGUUGUUCGGAAUCACUGGGCGUAAAGGGAGCGUAGGCGGGCGAUUAAGUUAGGUGUUUAAUUCCGGGGCCCAACCCCGGGCGUGCACUUAAAACUGGUCGUCUUGAAUAGGGGAGAGGUCAGUGGAAUUGGAGGUGUAGCGGUGGAAUGCGUAGAGAUCUCCAAGAACACCAGUUGCGAAGGCGGCUGACUGGACCCAUAUUGACGCUGAGGCUCGAAAGCAUGGGGAGCAAACAGGAUUAGAUACCCCAGUAGUCC
rnacentral:rRNA from 1 species